AGGUCAGACCAGGAAGACAGAGGCCAAACCCAGCAUCACACUUUGACCUGCCCGGGAACACAGUGGCUCCUGGGAAAUAACCACUAAAGUCUUGAAAUGUCUUGAGUGAUUGGAGGACCUUUAUUUUUCACGCCUGAUGCCUUAUGCUGAUGAGAUGACUCAGCAGGGGAUGGCCAGGCCAGAAAGACCAAAACUGUAUCCUGAGGUUUGAGUUUCUGAGCCAGGUGAUGUCAUCCUCCAGCUUGGCCGGCCUCUUUCUGGGAGCCUCUGGUGUGAAAGAGAGCAGAUUUAUUAAAAAUCAUCAACUUCAAAUUAUUUGGAUGGAAACAUUGCCAAAUCAUAGAGAUGUUUGCUACCACCCGCACACCAAGCAGCUGGGUAACUAGAAGUGCAGGAUCAGCUUAUUCACCUCCGAAAGCCUGCAUGCAACCACUGAGGCCGCCUCUAUUUUUUACAUAGUUCUACUUGGUGUAUGUAACCCCACAGAGAAACCUGGAAGAAUGCAUGAAACCUAGUAAGGCAACCAGCACAUGCAACAGAAUGAACCGUUUCUUUCCAUCUGAAUGCCUAAAUGUGGACUCUGAUCCUUUCUACCAAGUCCUAAGUUUGGGAAAAGAGGACAAGGACAGGGGCUCUGUCCCAUAUCAUAAUGUGCUUGUGAAUGGCUAAAAUUACAAUGCUGAGAUAAGUGUGUGUAAUAAAAUAAUUGCACCCCGAAUUGAA
rnacentral:lncRNA from 1 species